AUAAAAUGUCUUUAAUAGUUUUGGUGACUAAGUUCUGUCCAUUUCUAGGUGUUACAUCUCCAGCAACCUAAACAGCUUCAUCAGUAACUUAAAAUAAUCUUCUUCAUUCUAAUAUCACUACUAAUAAUGAUGAUACCUUUGUUGACUUUUUUCAGUGUGUCAAGGAAGGAAUGGAAAGUAUCUGCUGAAGCAUUUUGCUUGGAGGUGCCCUUCACCAGCAGCACCAUAUGCCUGGAAACUUGAGAUCAGAAUCAAUACUUAAAUGGAUUGCUGUGAACAGUGGAAGAUCUCACUUCUUGCUCACUGCAAGUGACAGACGUCUCCAACAUCUACAGCUCCCUGCUGCAGUUUUUACUUGCUCUUGGGCUUCACAGGAAUCCACUCGUCAGGGAUGGCACAGUGAGUGAUAGAAAAUUUGAGGCCCAUCUGGAAAAGCUGUUGCCAUACAAAAAGAAGUGGACUUGUGCAGGAAUCUAGCUGUGAGAGAGAGAAGUUCAAUGUGGGACAGAAAAAGCUAACAGAUGACAGUGAUGAUCCACUGAUGAGAAAUGCACUUCAGGUGGACAAGGUAUGAUCUCAGAGUAUUAUUUAUUUUUGUUUGAGAUUCUGUUCCAAAUCAUAACCUCAACUGUACUCAAAGCCUUUGUGAAUUAUUUUUAAAACUGUGAAUACGAAGUUCAAUAGAUUAAUACUUUACCACCAUUUUUGGAGCACAGCUCAAGAUAUCUUCAAGUAGACUGAUGUUAGAUGGUGGAUAGUCCCAUCACUGUUCAGUAAUGUCUUCAAGUUCAUAAAUAAUUAGGAUCCUGUCAGUAAAUACAAUUUAAGGAAUUCACAUGUACAUGUCUACCUGAGCCUUUUAUUCAGUGACAAAAUUUUCUUGAGUUUCACUUUUUGUUUUCACCUCUUUGAUCACAGUGAAUCCUGUGUGUCCCAGACUACAGCUUCAUGCUUUUUGGCAAUAUAAAACAAGUUUUGGAGAGGACCAAGUAUGAGUAUUCACAGGACUUAGAGUCCUUGUGUAAUCAUGGCAUACAUACAGCAGACACAUCUGAAAUACAAAAAUACACGUGUUUAUAGUUAUGAUCUGAACUUACUUAUUCUAUUGGCCUUAAUGGUCAAACAAUACCAUCAACAAUACUUGUUCGGAUUUAAGUUAAAUUAAAAUAAUUUUGAUUAUUUUAAAAAAUCAGGAAUAUGUGCCCACACUAACCAAAGUGACAUAAAAUCAAACUUUAAAUUGAGUAAUGCCUGUACCAUUUGUAGACAUGCCAAGAGUUACAUGAGUGUAAAGCUAAUGCGCAUGUUCCUGAGGACUAUGAUUAGCAUGCAGGGUUUGCAAAUAUAGUGAUUUGCUCAUUUGUUGAAUGAAAUUUAAUGUAGUUGCCUGGCUAAUACAUUAGCCUUCCUUCCGAGCUGUGAAGUAAGGUAACAUUAAUGGAGUGUAGGGAAUAGGCAGUCAGAAUGGGGAGAGUAACUUGUCAUCAAUAAUUUCUCUGAUAAAUAUUACUUUUUCUUUUUUCCUUCUAUUCAUAAACUGUCCAUGAAUAGUCUAUGACUGGAAUUACAUGGUGAACAGUUUCUGCUACUGUGUCUCCAACCAUCGUGAACUUUUUUCUCUGAAUGUAUGAUUGACAAAGGUCAAGCAGCCUUGACUACAUAUGUUACAUGGACUUUCUUUUCCAUCAUUGGAUGCCAACAUAUCUCAGAUUAAAGCCUUUUGGAAAUACAGCU
ensembl:lncRNA